AACGAACGCUGGCGGCAUGCCUAACACAUGCAAGUCGAACGAGACCUUCGGGUCUAGUGGCGCACGGGUGCGUAACGCGUGGGAACCUGCCCUUAGGUUCGGAAUAACUCCCCGAAAGGGGUGCUAAUACCGGAUAAUGUCUUCGGACCAAAGAUUUAUCGCCUUUGGAUGGGCCCGCGUUGGAUUAGCUUGUUGGUAGGGUAAAAGCCUACCAAGGCGACGAUCCAUAGCUGGUCUGAGAGGAUGAUCAGCGACACUGGGACUGAGACACGGCCCAGACUCCUACGGGAGGCAGCAGUGGGGAAUAGUGGACAAUGGGCGAAAGCCUGAUCCAGCAAGGCCGCGUGAGUGAUGAAGGCCGUAGGGUUGUAAAGCUCUUUUACCCGGGAUGAUAAUGACAGUACCGGGAGAAUAAGCUCCGGCUAACUCCGUG
rnacentral:rRNA from 1 species